GGCGAACGGGUGAGUAAUACAAAGGAAUCUACCUUAAAGUUUGGUUAAAUGCCUUAUAUUUUAAAGAUUUUAUCGCUUUUAGAUGAGCCUUUGUAGGAUUAGGUAGUUGGUAAGGUAAAAGCUUACCAAGCCGAUGAUCCUUAAUUGGUCUGAGAGGAUGUACAAUCACACUAGAACUGAGACAAGGUCUAGACAUCUACGGAUGGCAGCAGUGGGGAAUCUUGAACAAUGGGCGAAAGCCUGAUUCAGCGAUAUAGAGUGAAUGAAGACAGCCAUUUGGUUGUAAAGUUCUUUUACCAAGGAAGACUAUGACUUUACUUGGAGAAAAAGCCCCGGCAAAUUUCGUGCCAGCAGCCGCGGUGAUACGAAAGGGGCUAGUGUUAUUCGGAAUAAUUGGGUGUAAAGGGUGAGUAGGCUGUAAUCAUAGUUAAAAGUUAAAUCUUAGUAGUAAGUACUAAACUAAUUUUUAAUAACACAUUACUAGAGUAAAAGAGAGGAUUGUAGAAUUUCAAGUGGAGAAAUAAAAUUCGUAGAUUUUUGAAGGAAUAUCGAAAGCGAAGGCAACAAUCUGGCUUUAUACUGACGCUGAUUCACGAAAGCCUAGGUAGCAACCAGGAUUAGAGACCCUGUUAGUCUAGGCCGUAAACGAUGAGCACUCAUUUUUGGGUUAUUAAUACUCAGAAAUUUAGCUAACGCGUUAAGUGCUC
rnacentral:rRNA from 1 species